UUCAAUUCUGAUCAUCUCAAACCCAU
rnacentral:piRNA from 1 species